rnacentral:rRNA from 1 species
GAUGAACGCUGGCGGCGUGCCUAAUACAUGCAAGUCGAGCGAACGGACGAGAAGCUUGCAUCUCUGAUGUUAGCGGCGGACGGGUGAGUAACACGUGGAUAACCUACCUAUAAGACUGGGAUAACUUCGGGAAAACGGAGCUAAUACCGGAUAAUAUUUUGAACCGCAUGGUUCAAAAGUGAAAGACGGUCUUGCUGUCACUUAUAGAUGGAUCCGCGCUGCAUUAGCUAGUUGGUAAGGUAACGGCUUACCAAGGCAACGAUGCAUAGCCGACCUGAGAGGGUGAUCGGCCACACUGGAACUGAGACACGGUCCAGACUCCUACGGGAGGCAGCAGUAGGGAAUCUUCCGCAAUGGGCGAAAGCCUGACGGAGCAACGCCGCGUGAGUGAUGAAGGUCUUCGGAUCGUAAAACUCUGUUAUUAGGGAAGAACAUAUGUGUAAGUAACUGUGCACAUCUUGACGGUACCUAAUCAGAAAGCCACGGCUAACUACGUG